rnacentral:tRNA from 1 species
UCGUAGCUUAGUCGGAUAGAGCAUCAGAUUCCGAUUCUGAAGGUCGCAGGUUCGAAUCCCGCCGGGU